rnacentral:rRNA from 1 species
GAUGAACGCUGGCGGCGUGCCUAAUACAUGCAAGUCGAGCGAACGGACGAGAAGCUUGCUUCUCUGAUGUUAGCGGCGGACGGGUGAGUAACACGUGGAUAACCUACCUAUAAGACUGGGAUAACUUCGGGAAACCGGAGCUAGUACCGGAUAAUAUUUUGAACCGCAUGGUUCAAAAGUGAAAGACGGUCUUGCUGUCACUUAUAGAUGGAUCCGCGCUGCAUUAGCUAGUUGGUAAGGUAACGGCUUACCAAGGCAACGAUGUAUAGCCGACCUGAGAGGGUGAUCGGCCACACUGGAACUGAGACACGGUCCAGACUCCUACGGGAGGCAGCAGUAGGGAAUCUUCCGCAAUGGGCGAAAGCCUGACGGAGCAACGCCGCGUGAGUGAUGAAGGUCUUCGGAUCGUAAAACUCUGUUAUUAGGGAAGAACAUAUGUGUAAGUAACUGUGCACAUCUUGACGGUACCUAAUCAGAAAGCCACGGCUAACUACGUG